GACAGAGGGUGCAAACGUUGCUCGGAAUCACUGGGCGUAAAGGGCGUGUAGGCGGGAGAGAAAGUCGGGCGUGAAAUCCCUAGGCUCAACCUAGGAACUGCACUCGAAACUUCUUUUCUUGAGUGCCGGAGAGGAAAGCGGAAUACCUGGUGUAGAGGUGAAAUUCGUAGAUAUCAGGUGGAACACCGAUGGCGAAGGCAGCCUCCUGGGCUAGUACUGACGCUCAUGCACGAAAGCGUGGGGAGCAAACAGG
rnacentral:rRNA from 1 species